GUGCCUACGGGGGGCAGCAGUAGGGAAUAUUGCACAAUGGGGGAAACCCUGAUGCAGCGACGCCGCGUGAGUGAAGAAGUAAUUCGUUAUGUAAAGCUCUAUCAGCAGGGAAGAAAAUGACGGUACCUGAGUAAGAAGCCCCGGCUAACUACGUGCCAGCAGCCGCGGUAAUACGUAGGGGGCAAGCGUUAUCCGGAUUUACUGGGUUUAAAGGGUGCGCAGGCGGUCUGUUAAGUCAGCGGUCAAAGCCCGGGGCUCAACCCCGGCCCGCCGUUGAAACU
rnacentral:rRNA from 1 species